rnacentral:rRNA from 1 species
CCUACGGGGGGCUGCAGUGGGGAAUAUUGGACAAUGGGGGGAACCCUGAUCCAGCGACGCCGCGUGAGUGAAGAAGUAUUUCGGUAUGUAAAGCUCUAUCAGCAGGGAAGAAAAUGACGGUACCUGACCAAGAAGCCCCGGCUAACUACGUGCCAGCAGCCGCGGCAAUACGUAGGGGGCAAGCGUUAUCCGGAUUUACUGGGUGUAAAGGGGGCGUAGACGGUGCAGCAAGUCUGAUGUGAAAGGUCGGGGCCCAACCCCGGGACUGCAUUUGAAACUGUUGAACUGGAGUACAGGAGGGGUAGGCGGAAUUCCUGGUGUAGCGGUGAAAUGCGUAGAUAUUAGGAGGAACACCAGUGGCGAAGGCAGCUUACUAAACUGCCACUGACAUUGAUGCUCGAAAGUGUGGGUAUCAAACAGGAUUAGAUACCCGAGUAGUC